rnacentral:rRNA from 1 species
AUACGUAGGGGACGAGCGUUGUCCGGAAUUACUGGGCGUAAAGGGCGCGCAGGCGGAUAUUUAAGUCAGCUGUAAAAGGCAUGAGCUCAACUCAUGUAUGCGGUUGAAACUGGGUAUCUAGAGUGCUGGAGAGGUAGGCGGAAUUCCCGGGGGAGCGGUGGAAUGCGUAGAUAUUAGGAGGAAUACCAGUGGCGAAGGCGACUCUCUGGACUGAUACUGACGCUGAGGCACGAAAGCGUGGGGAGCAAACAGGAUUAGAUACCCUGGUAGUCCACGCUAUAAACGAUGAGUGCUAGGUGUCGGGGGUCAAACCUCGGUGCCGCAGUUAACACAAUAAGUAUUCCGCCUGGGGAGUACGGCCGCAAGGUUGAAACUCAAAUGAAUUGGCGGGG